rnacentral:rRNA from 1 species
AUUGAACGCUGGCGGCAUGCCUUACACAUGCAAGUCGAACGGCAGCACGGGUGCUUGCACCUGGUGGCGAGUGGCGAACGGGUGAGUAAUACAUCGGAACAUGUCCUGUAGUGGGGGAUAGCCCGGCGAAAGCCGGAUUAAUACCGCAUACGAUCUACGGAUGAAAGCGGGGGACCUUCGGGCCUCGCGCUAUAGGGUUGGCCGAUGGCUGAUUAGCUAGUUGGUGGGGUAAAGGCCUACCAAGGCGACGAUCAGUAGCUGGUCUGAGAGGACGACCAGCCACACUGGGACUGAGACACGGCCCAGACUCCUACGGGAGGCAGCAGUGGGGAAUUUUGGACAAAGGGCGAAAGCCUGAUCCAGCAAUGCCGCGUGUGUGAAGAGGGCCUUCGGGUUGUAAAGCACUUUUGUCCGGAAAGAAAUCCUUGGCCCUAAUACGGUCGGGGGAUGACGGUACCGGAAGAAUAAGCACCGGCUAACUACGUG